GGUGUCAUGGUGUAGUUGGUUAUCACGUCUGUCUAACACACUGAAGGUCUCCGGUUCGAGUCCGGGCGACUUCA
rfam:Gossypium hirsutum cultivar TM-1 chromosome 5, whole genome shotgun sequence